AUUGAACGCUGGCGGCAGGCCUAACACAUGCAAGUCGAACGAUUGGCGGACGGGUGAGUCAUGUCUGGGAAACUGCCUGAUGGGGGGGGAUAACUACUGGAAACGGUAGCUAAUACCGCAUACCAUCAGAUGUGCCUAGUUGGUAUUAGCUUGUUGGUGGGGUAACGGCUAACAAAGGCGACGACCCCUAGCUGGUCGGAGAGGAUGACCAGCGAAACGGGAACUGAGACACGGUCCAGAUUCCGACGUGAGGCAGAAGUGGGGAAUAUUGCAAAAUGGGCGCGAGCCUGAUGCAGCCAUGCCGCGGGGAUGAAGAAGGCCUUCGGUUUGUAAAGUACUGUCAGAGGGGAGGCGUUACCCGCAGAGGAAGCAUCGGCUAACUCCGUGCCAGCAGCCGCGGUAAUAC
rnacentral:rRNA from 1 species